rnacentral:rRNA from 1 species
UACGUAGGGGGCAAGCGUUGUCCGGAAUCAUUGGGCGUAAAGCGCGUGUAGGCGGUCCGGUAAGUCCGCUGUGAAAGUCGGGGGCUUAACCCUCGGAUGCCGGUGGAUACUGUCGGGCUUGAGUACGGAAGAGGCGAGUGGAAUUCCUGGUGUAGCGGUGAAAUGCGCAGAUAUCAGGAGGAACACCAAUUGCGAAGGCGGCUCGCUGGGACGUUACUGACGCUGAGACGCGAAAGCUUGGGGAGCAAACAGG